AUUGAACGCUGGCGGCAGGCUUAACACAUGCAAGUCGAGCGGAGAUGAGGUGCUUGCACCUUAUCUUAGCGGCGGACGGGUGAGUAAUGCUUAGGAAUCUGCCUAUUAGUGGGGGACAACAUUCCGAAAGGAAUGCUAAUACCGCAUACGUCCUACGGGAGAAAGCAGGGGAUCUUCGGACCUUGCGCUAAUAGAUGAGCCUAAGUCGGAUUAGCUAGUUGGUGGGGUAAAGGCCUACCAAGGCGACGAUCUGUAGCGGGUCUGAGAGGAUGAUCCGCCAAACUGGGACUGAGACACGGCCCAGACUCCUACGGGAGGCAGCAGUGGGGAAUAUGGGACAAUGGGGGGAACCCUGAUCCAGCCAUGCCGCGUGUGUGAAGAAGGCCUUAUGGUUGUAAAGCACUUUAAGCAAGGAGGAGGCUACUGAGACUAAUACUCUUGGAUAGUGGACGUUACUCGCAGAAUAAGCACCGGCUAACUCUGUGCCAGCCGCCGCCGUAACAC
rnacentral:rRNA from 1 species